rnacentral:tRNA from 1 species
GCCUGGCUAGCUCAGUUGGUAGAGCAUGAGACUCUUAAUCUCAGGGUCUUGGGUUCGAGCCCAAAGUUGGGCG